GGGAAUUUUCCGCAAUGGGCGAAAGCCUGACGGAGCAAUGCCGCGUGGAGGUGGAAGGCCUACGGGUCGUCAACUUCUUUUCUCGGAGAAGAAACAAUGACGGUAUCUGAGGAAUAAGCAUCGGCUAAAUACGUGCCAG
rnacentral:rRNA from 1 species